rnacentral:lncRNA from 1 species
GCCUUAAUGAGGUUUGGGAGGUUUUUGUUGCUUUAAUCGAACUUUUUGUGCUUUUCCAGGCUGGGAGAGCACCCAGAGGUGCUGGUGGCAGAGGGGGUGGCACCGUGUCCCCCCUGCUUGGGUGGGCAGGGAAUAUCCCGGGCUGGGGCGAAGUGGAUCCAUGGGUUUGGGAACGCGGCGAUGGAAGGGCAGAACUUCCCCUGGGAAGGGAGAAUCCUCCCCCCAAACCCAUCCCCGUCCCUCCCCAGCCCCCGGAAACUCCCCCUGGAUCCUUCCCUUCUCCGGGUGAGCGUUCCCGGAGCUGCUCCAGGUGCUGCCGGUGAUGGGAACCCCGCACAAAUCCCUGAUGGGAGCCGGGCAGGGCUGAGCUGGGAUGGGCACAGGGACACUGAGGGCGCACCUGGAAUGCUGCAGGAGGAGAGCGCGGGCUGCGGGAUCGCCGGGAUUUCCUCAGCUGCUUCCACGGCUGGGGUUAAUUAAUGACUCAUUAAAGCCCCUCCCCGAGGCUUUGCCGUCGUCGGGACUCGGGGCGCAGCAUUCCCAGAGGGACCUGGGGAGACCUUGGGGCUCCCGGGGCCUGAAGGAGUUUCAGGUGAGCCGGAGAGGGGUUGGGGACAAGGGAUGGAGGGACAGGACCCUGCCGGAGGGAUGGACGGACGGGAUUUUGGGAAGGAAUUCCCAGAGAAGCUGUGGCUGCCCCUGGAUCCCGGGAAUUUUCAGAGCCGGGUUUGGAGCGGCCCCAUCCCGCUGCUGCUCCGCAAUUCCGAGCUUUGGAUCCUUCUCCGGCUCCGUCCCCUCGCCACAAUCCCCCAAAAAACUCCCCAAAAACCCCUCGGGGCAUUCCCCACCUUUGCGUGCCAUUAACCGCAACCCCGGGCUGGAAUUGCCGAGCCCGGAGCUGCCCCGGCAGCCGCAGGGACCUGUCCCUGCUUUCUGCAGCACUUCCUUAAAUAAUCUGCUUUCCCCAACACUUAACCUCGGGAUCCUCCCCUUGGAACGCGGGCGAGUCUGGCGCGCACUCGCCGGACCACCCUGGGAAGCAAAUCCCGAUAAUUUAUGGAGAGGCUCAGCUGAGAACAGCCCUGAACACCAGCAGAAGCUGGCGACGCCAGGGAGGCUUUCAGAACCUGCCUGGGCGUCGGGAUCAAAGCAGCAGCGAUCCCCUUCCUCACCGGGGGCGCGGGGAACGUCCAGGGGCCCCCAGGAUCCCAGAGCCAGCCCAGGAAUGUCAAGCGGGGCUAAGUGCUCGCCCCAGCGGCACUGCCGGACAAAAGGCGACACUUGGGGACAUUAAAUCGCUCAGGGACAGUCAAGGACUCUUCAAAGCGGCUGCGAAUUGUGUGGCCAAGCUGGGAAACACGAGGCACAGGCUCCUGCUGGCCCGGGCGCGCCUCUCAUCGGGGAAAAGGAUGGAGCAGAGAGA